rnacentral:pre_miRNA from 10 species
GGGGCAUAAGGCGAAAAUUGAAGUGAAGUGACUCUCUUUUUCAGUACUUUUGAAGUAAUUCUGUCUAUAUAUAUGCAGUGGGAGGAAGGGUUGUUGAGUGUUUGCCCCUAUCUUCAGUGUUCCAACUUUCUCUGUCUCUUUGUCAUUUAAGAUUUUACUGUUAUUGUAUGUUUGAUUUUGAGUUCGAGUUUUGUGUUUGAUGUGUGUCUCUUCAACGAAACUGUUGGAUUUGUAGUUCUGUGAAAGAAAAAAGAAGGGUGUGAAGGACAGUUGGGUACGUGUUACCGACACCUGUACGUUCUGCAUGAGAGAGAGAGAGAGAGCGAGAGAGAGAGAGAGACAUGGAAAGAGAAAGAGAAGUGAAUAAGACUAGUGGAUGAUGAUGAAGGGAGAAGAUAGAGAGAAGGGUUUCUUCUUGUUCUUGUUUUCGUUUUCGUUUUCGUUUUCGUUUUGGGGGCAUUUCUAUGAUAUUUCUUCCUUAAGAUUCAUACUGGGUUUGGACUUGGUUUUAGUUUGGUAUGAAUAAAAACCCUAAAAUCGUUUUUGAAGUUCUCCAUUCCUUACUGAAAACGGCAUGGAUCGUGGAUUUUAGGGUCUUACUUUUGGUACCUUUUCCGUAAAUGGGUGUUACUGUGUUCUCAGAUCUGACUCAUUCCUUUUAUUUUUUCUUUCUUUUGGGUCUAUGUGUAACUGUUGUUUCUUCGUUUUGGUAAAUUUUUGUGUGGUUGGUCUGUUUCCUUGUAUGGGAAUACGCUUUACCCUUUCAUUCUUUACUCUUCUUCUUCUUCUUUCUCCUUCAUCAUCUUCUUUGUUCUUCUAUUCUCUCAUUCUUGGGACAUAGAAAUUGACAGAAGAGAGUGAGCACACAGAGGCACUUGUAUAAGUCUAUACUUUUGCUUUUGCGUGCUCACUUCUCUUUCUGUCAGCUUCCAGUGCCGGAAUUUGAUCAUCCUUUGUUGGUCACCUCUUGGCGAGUUUUGUUCCAUUCUCACUCUCUUCUCGUUUCUCCCCUUACUUCCUUACUUUCCCUUCUCUCUCUCUCAUUCUUGACUCUGGGAGUAGUUUGAACGCGACGGCAGUGAAGAUACUCUAUUCGAAGAGGAAUAUGGGUGUGCCUACUGAUGAUCUUUUCUGUGUCUUUUCUUUAUUUCCCUACAGAGCUUGCUCUCAAUAUGAGUAAUUUAUGCCUUUAAAUCUAUUUAUUUAUAUACAAUUAAUAUCUCCAAAGCGUGGCUUUUUAUGUUAUUUACUGUUGGGGUACGCCUGAUUACUGUGCGGAUUUAGCGUCAAAACUAUGAAUAAACAUGGGACCAUUUACGAUAUACAUAGCCUACUUAGUAGCUAGUUAGUAUGGUCCUCACUCAACAGACCCCUUCCCUUUCUCUUUUUUCUUCAGUGAUUUGCUUCUUGUUUAGUACUAUCUCCUUCAUGUUUUUCCCUUUUUUAUUCCUUCGCAUGCAAUCAUAUAUUCACUCAGAGAAAUUUUUGUCCUGAUUGGAGUUUGCUCUCACCUAAAUCUACCAGAAUCAGGCUGUUUUACUACUCUCAGCUUGCAAAUUAGUAUAACCCUAUCCUUGUAACAAUAACGGUUGCUUGUUUUACUGCCUGCUGAUGGAUGCUCUCCAAGUUGUGUUUUUUUGUGCAAAUUUAGUCAAAAUUGAUUCAUUUCCCAGAUUUCCAACUUCUGAUUUGACAGUGUAUUUGCCUGUUCUUCCCUUGUGAUUUGAUGAUUUAGUGAGUUCAGCUGACAAAAAGAGCAUCGGGGACUAGGAUUUAGGGCGUGUGAUGAUGAGUUUUCAUCAGCGAUUUCCCGCAUCUGUUUUCUCUCCUGCUUUUUUUGAUGUUCCUUUUGCAGGUAGGCAGGCAUUUGAGUUUUGUAACUCUCUGGAUGGAAGUUUUGAUAAAGGUAAAGCCUUUUAUCCAUUCAACAGUUUUUGAAUGGUAUAGUAAUCUGGUGCAUCGAUGUUUUGAAUCAAUCGAUCCGAUUCUCAGGAGAUCGUAGAACGGUGAUAUGUUUAAACUUAAUUCUGAUUCGAAGGUUUUUAGUUAAUAUAUUAAUUGAUUAUAGUAUAUUGUGCUUGAAUUAAAUGGAAUGCAGUCGUACAUGAUCAAUUGUAUCAAUUUAACCAUAUGCGGUUACUUUUUGCAGGGUUUGUAUACCAUUGGCAAAGCCUUGCCCAUGUAAUCCACCUCCUAAGCUAGUCUCCUUUGGAUGAAUUAUCUGCCCUCCUUUAGUCGUUUGAUCAAAGUAUAGUUUGGUGCUACGGGAUAUCAUACACCAAUGGUACCAUCAUGACCUCCUCAAAUUUGGUUCAAGGGCUUCAAAACAAUGUGAAUGCAGCUCUUUUUGGAUGUACUGAAACAGCUGGUGUAAAAUGAAUUGAUGAUCUGUUGGCAAUAUCAAUGAUAGGUGCUAUUCUUUCUGUUGUGUACGUGGACAGCAUUAAAAAUGGGCAGCUUCCCCCCUUUAGUGUUUUAAGAGAGCUCUUUACAUUUUGACAGUGAUGCAUCAAAUUGAUUUUGUUGCAUGAAAAGGGAGACAUUGCACUUAUUGAUACAUUCUCCUGCAAUUUUCAAUCAUGAAAAUUCAAAUUGGAUGUUGCCGCUCAGGAGUGUGAAAGAUGGAAGUGUAUAUGUGGAGCUAUAAUUCGAGUUUUGGACCAUCUUCUUGUGACUUAAUCUGAAGGAAUCAAACUUUAUGAAGGCAGAAAGAACAUUUGACAACGCUACUAGUCAAGCACAAGACUUGAGAAGGAUUGUCUGAAACCCCAUGGCAGGCGCACGCGUUCGUAGUUGGGUGGGGCCGUGAAGCUAAGAAGCCAUUGAUUGCAGGAUUAAUUGAAGGUUAUAUCUAUUACAGUUGAAUCUGGAUGUUACUUGGUGUGACCUCACAUUAGCUCGAGUGGUGGAAAAAGGUUGUUGCCCAUGAAUCCAGCUGUGUUGUUCUUCAAUGUCUUGUAAGAGAAUAAGAUGCAAAGGAAUGUGUGGAUAGCAAAAAACACAUGGUUGUACGACUUGUGGGACUAUUGCACAAAGAAAGACUAAAAUUGCUAUCUCGAUCAUGUCUUCCUCAAGGCGAGGCACGGCAAUCAGACUAAAAUUGCUAUCUCGAUCAUGUCUUCCUCAAGGCAAGGCACGGCAAUCUGUUGGCAUUGAGAUAUUCUGCCUUCCAGUUUAUGGUGAAAAUGAUUUGUUAAGGGUAGAAAUUUUCUAGCUUUGAACAUUCUGCUCUUUUAACCCUUUUUCCUGUAAUCGAUAUCAGGGAUGGAUUUAUGACUGAAUAAUCAAUAUUCAGAAGAGCUGGUGCACCUUGACAACUAAUAAGGGUUUACAAAUAGCAAAUAACUACCCAUUCUUUCA